GCUUCCAUGGUCUAGUUGGUUAUGACACAGGUUAGUCUGUCAAGUGUUCCAAUUCAUUCGUUACCUUACUCAUUAUUAAAUUAUAGGUCUCAUAUUCUUCAUAUGACCCAACCAAAUUAAGUUUGGGAUAUCCUGGGGUCGCCAGUUCGAUCCUGGCUGGGAGCA